rnacentral:lncRNA from 1 species
AUGAAGGAAGCCCUUGGGGACCUGGACGUGAGAUGGUUUGCGUGGCUUUUGCUACCCUAUCUUUAUGUGUGCUGCAACUUUUGUGCUGGACUUCUGAACUUUCACAAAGGCUCUGCAGGUGAUUGUCUAAGACAGCAUUCUUCACGGGCUUCCAGACCACAACCAAGAGGGAUUGGAGCUGGUUUAUGGACCAUCACAGGGUCAAUAGCCAAGACCAAGGUCAGGACAUUCAGAGCCACGGAGAGACUGAAAGAAAGAAACAGACAGAAACUGCCCCUGCGACCUCAGGUCCUGCGUCCCAGGUGUUGCAGUCACACUCUUUGGCUCCAGCUCAAGAGUUACCCCAUUAUGAAGCUUUUUUUCACUUGCUGCGCAGGAAACAGUUGUUUCAGUUGUACUUGGCUCCACUUUAGAGGAUGCACAUGGCUCAAUGCAGGAUGAGACUGAUUUUGGCAACUGAAUGGAACACUGGAGUGUUCAGUUUUAAGGCUGAUUUAUGAAAAAACAAUGGCAAUAAGGCCAUUGAUUAAAACAUCCUAAUCCAACAAUACAAGAAAAUGAUUGUUUAGAGUGUUGGAUGUGAUUUUUGAUUCUUGAAUGAAUUGCUUUGUUCCAUUCAUGAGAAUAGUAGGGAUUUUAACAAACGCUAUAUAGUGUUUUCCAUUUUUGAAGAGCUUAAAGUUUGCAUAAUUUUAUAUACUGUUUAGCAAAGCUAUUAUAGAAAGCUAUAUUUGAU